AAAGUAGAGGUGUUCGUCACGCAAGUGGGUUUCUUGCAAUUUACUCUCUUAUAGCUUGUAUAUUCUGAACAGAAAAAAAGAAAGGGAAGGAACCGCAUGUGCUUGAGGUCAUCAAUUUCAUCUAUAAAAAGGAAAUAAUACCGCCUGUCCCAUGACACUGUUGUGAGGACUAGAAGUGAUGGUUGUUGAUGUAGAGACUUGCUAGGUCCAGUCACCAUAAAAUGUAAAAACAACACACUUUAUUAAUAUAGCUACCAAUAUAGCUGCAAUAUACUUUUUCAUUUUAUUUAUUUAUUUAUUUAUUUAUUUAUUUAUUUAUUUAUUUAUUAUUUGAGAGAGAGGGAGAGAGAGGCAGAGACACAGAUAGAGGGAGAAGCAGGUUCCAUGCAGGGAGCCUGACAUGGGACUCCAUCCUGCAUCUCCAGCAUCCCACACUGGGCUGAAGGUGGCGCUAAAUCGCUGAGCCACUGGGGCUGCCCUACAAUAUACUUGUUAAAAAUAUAUUUUAUUUAUUUAUUCAUGAGAGAGAGAGAGAGAGAGAGGCAGAGACACAGGUAGAGGGAGAGGUAGGCUCCAUGCAGGGAGCCCGAAGUGGGACUCCAUCCUGGGUCUCCAGGAUCACGCCCUGGGCAGAAGGCAGUGCUAAACGGCUGAGCCACCCAGGCUGCCCGUUUUCAAUUCUUCUUAAAACUCACAAUUCGACUUCUUUCUAGCAAAGUUUUAUGUGAGUUGGUGUACCUAUCAAUUAAAAGCUGUAGGGUAUGGAUCCCAGACUGCCCCUAAGGUGCAUGUUCAGAGCCCUUCCAAUUCCUCCAAGUGCAGCCUGGAAACCACCGAGCUGGUCUGAGGCCACAUCCACAGCUGUGGGAACCAAGUGCCAGAGGCAGUCACGAUUUACUGGAUCAGAAACCCAGUUGUCUCCUGAAGCAUCUGAGUCAGGGAAUUGGUUUUUCUCAGGGCAGAGUGAAAAAAACCUUACACGAUCAGGAUUUCUCUCAUCCCGAGAAAAAUGCUUAGCAUUUUUUUUGUUUGUUUCUUUUUUCUCAUGUUGUUUGGCUAUUUCUCUUGUCACAUUGCCCUACUUCCUUUGGUAAUUAGUUUUAGAAAGAAAUCACUCACAUAAUGAAAAUGAUCUAGAAACUCAGGUUAAAAAUUUUUUCUAGCCAGUG
rnacentral:lncRNA from 1 species